rnacentral:miRNA from 1 species
AAACAAACCAGAGGCUCACACU